rnacentral:rRNA from 1 species
UGGGGAAUUUUGGACAAUGGGCGAAAGCCUGAUCCAGCAAUGCCGCGUGUGUGAAGAAGGCCUUCGGGUUGUAAAGCACUUUUGUCCGGAAAGAAAUCCUUGGCUCUAAUACAGUCGGGGGAUGACGGUACCGGAAGAAUAAGCACCGGCUAACUACGUGCCAGCAGCCGCGGUAAUACGUAGGGUGCAAGCGUUAAUCGGAAUUACUGGGCGUAAAGCGUGCGCAGGCGGUUUGCUAAGACCGAUGUGAAAUCCCCGGGCUCAACCUGGGAACUGCAUUGGUGACUGGCAGGCUAGAGUAUGGCAGAGGGGGGUAGAAUUCCACGUGUAGCAGUGAAGUGCGUAGAGAUGUGGAGGAAUACCGAUGGCGAAGGCAGCCCCCUGGGCCAAUACUGACGCUCAUGCACGAAAGCGUGGGGAGCAAACAGGAUUAGAUACCCUGGUAGUCCACGCCCUAAACGAUGUCAACUAGUUGUUGGGGAUUCAUUUCCUUAGUAACGUAGCUAACGCGUGAAGUUGACCGCCUGGGGAGUACGGUCGCAAGAUUAAAACUCAAAUGAAUUGACGGGGUC